ACCAUGAAACAAUAGUUAUUCAAAUUAAUAUUCAAGUAAAUACCUGUUAAACAGUCAGGUUGAACUUGCGUAAGAAAGCAAGAAGCAAGGAAGAAAACUCAAGAGCUUACAUCUUAGAUUGUUGUCCACGGUCGAGCGAUUCCAGUUACAGAACCUGCUCCAUGACCCCACUCCAAUCUGUAAGGCCAAUAGAAAACAAACACUUAAACAACUAGUCUCUACAGAGCUACAUGCUAUGGCUAAAGCACUUUCAAACAUCUCUACAAAAAGGAGAAAGAACUGACUUACAGCUUUCCAGAUCACACCGUGUUAGUCGCUCCUCUCCUGCUUCUCCACAAACCCUGGAGCUCUGGGUCUCUGGG
rnacentral:lncRNA from 1 species